rnacentral:rRNA from 1 species
UACGUAGGGUGCAAGCGUUAAUCGGAAUUACUGGGCGUAAAGCGUGCGCAGGCGGUUCUAUAAGACAGAUGUGAAAUCCCCGGGCUCAACCUGGGAAUGGCAGUGGAUACUGGCAAGCUAGAGUGCGGUAGAGGGUAGUGGAAUUCCCGGUGUAGCAGUGAAAUGCGUAGAGAUCGGGAGGAACACCAGUGGCGAAGGCGGCUACCUGGACCAGCACUGACACUGAAGCACGAAAGCGUGGGGAGCAAACAGG